rnacentral:sRNA from 1 species
UUUUUAAAAAACACUUAUGCACCACAUUGGCAACUUUGGAUAGGUGGUUCAAGUAUGGCCAUGCAAUUCCAUACCCCAUUCUUCUAUUACUGGGUUGACUCUGGCGAAGAAAUAACCUAUACGAAUUGGUGGGCCCAUAUCCUUGCUCAACAUUCGAAAAAUCCGGGAAGGAAUGGGGGUUUACCCAGUAGUACUGGCGGUGGCGAUUGGCCAUGAUUGGUACUUACCAGAUCGACCCUCUGGUAAGCAAACGCCGAACCAUACAGC